rnacentral:rRNA from 1 species
UAAGCAUAUCAAUAAGCGGAGGAAAAGAAAAUAACAAUGAUUCCCCUAGUAACGGCGAGUGAAGAGGGAAAAGCUCAAAGUUGGAACCUGGUGGGCAUAGCUCACCCGGAUUGUAAACUAAAGUUUUUGAGUCGUUUAGUCAGCCAGGUAAAUAAGUCCUCUGGAAAGGGGCGACAUAGAGGGUGAAAUCCCCGUCUUUGGCCUGAGUUUUGAUUAGGCGUUUGGCUUGGAAACGAAGAGUCAGGUUGUUUGGGAAUGCAGCCUAAAAUGGGAGGUAAAUCUCUCCUAAAGCUAAAUAUUGACGAAAGACCGAUAGCGAACAAGUACCGUGAGGGAAAGAUGAAAAGCACUUUGAAAAGAGGGUCAAAAAGUACGUGAAAUUGCUGAAAGGGAACCGUAUGAAAUCAGACUUACUGGUAGGUAAUCAAUCUUUCCCUUGGGAAGGAUGCACUUGCCUGCUAUGUACGCCAGCGACAUUUUGGUUGUGGAGGAAAAAAAUAGUUGGAAUGUAGCCUGGGUUUCGGCUUAGGUGUUAUAGACUACUAUAAAAUACUCUCGGCUAGAAUGAGGAACGCAGCAAACCGUAAGGCGAAGAUUUUAGGCGCUUGGGGGGGAUCAUUAGAGAAUUUCUGCUUCGGGUGGUGCUUUAGUGAUUUCGUUCAACUCGUUUGAAUUUCUUUUUAUUG